AUGACAUCUCCAAGGCUUUCCUCCUAUGUGACAUGGUUGUUCUUGUGGAAAAUGGCUCAUGCGACUGAUCAGAAAUUUUCCUCAUUGGUGCAUCAAGACAGAGGUUUUGUUGGCUAAUGUUGGAGACACAAUGACUUUGCGGUGUUUCUAUAAUAAUGAUGACCCAGCAUGGCUUUACUGGUAUAAGCAACCGCUGGGACAGAACCUAAAUCUGAUCUCCACCGUCUAUGCGUGUGAUAAAACACACGUUUUUUAUCAUGAAUUCCAGAACAAUCCACGCUUCACACUGGAUACUAAAAACAGAUCAAAGCACUUGACAAUUUUGGAUUUGCACAUUUCAGACUCAGCAAUCUACUACUGCGCAAUUAGCACUUAAUUUAUGUUUACUUUUGCCGAGGGCACUGUUCUCAGUGUACAGGGUUCAGGUUUUAAAGUCCCGGCUUUGGUCCACCAGUCAGCAUCUGAGACCAUCCAGCCAGGAGGCUCUGUGACUCUGAACUGUACAGUUCACACUGGGACCUGUGAUGAACAACUCAAUGUUAACUGGUUCAAAGACUCUGAAGAAUCUCAUCCAGGACUCAUUUACACCCAUGGAGGCAGGAAUGAUCAGUGUGAGAGGAAACCCAACACAAAAUGA